rnacentral:tRNA from 1 species
GCUGAUAGCUCAGUCGGUAGAGCAUGAGACUCUUAAUCUCAGGGCCAUGGGUUUGAGUCCCAUGUUGGGCA